rnacentral:rRNA from 1 species
GUAGGGAAUAUUGGACAAUGGGGGGAACCCUGAUCCAGCCAUGCCGCGUGGAGGAAGACUGCCCUCUGGGUUGUAAACUCCUUUUAUAUGGGAAGAACCGUCCUCAUUAAUGAGUGACCUGACGGUACCAUAGGAAUAAGCACCGGCUAACUCCGUGCCAGCAGCCGCGGUAAUACGGAGGGUGCAAGCGUUAUCCGGAUUCACUGGGUUUAAAGGGUGCGUAGGCGGAUAAAUAAGUCAGUGGUGAAAUCAACGGGCUCAACCUGUUAACUGCCAUUGAUACUGUGUAUAUUGAAUAUGAGAGAGGUAGGCGGAAUGUUGCAUGUAGCGGUGAAAUGCUUAGAUAUGCUACGGAACACCGAUUGCGAAGGCAGCUUACUAUUUCGUAAUUGACGCUGAGGCACGAAAGCGUGGGUAGCGAACAGGAUUAGAAACCCGUGUAGUCC